CCGCCCGCCACAACGCUGAGCGGCGGUGGCCACAACCAUUGAGAAGGACAGAGGACCGCGGGACAGCCAAUGAUGGGAGGCGCUGGGUGCGGCUGCCUCAUGAAUAUGCAGCGUAGAGCAGCCAGAAACCCUUUGGGCGUCCGUAGAGACGGGGGGAACUAUCAUAUGGCUCCUCAGAAACCCGCGCUGAAAGGCACUGAUCGUCUGUCUCCACUGGAUGUGACGAGUGGUCCUUCCUCAUCCCGCUCCUUCUCUUGGGGCAUCGCGCAGACAGGAACAUCACCCCCGCGGUGAGAAGCGGAGAUAGGCAGUGGCUUCCUCCGAGGGGAACGAAAGUUUUAAUCAAAACACUAUGCAAAAAAAUCCUUGCCAUGUCUGAAAACAUUUUUUUUUUAAGAGACAACUUUGUUUAGUCGCUAGUAUCAGCUUUAAGUCAGCAAUCUGAACAGAUCUAGCCAGCUCUUUAAAAUCCGAAUUACGCAACUUGUAUGGGAAGAAACGGCAGCUUGUUCACAAAGGAAAAGUUUCUUGUCUAGCUCUGUGUUAGGCUCUGGUGUGGUCUCUCUUUCUGCUCAGAGAUGGAACCUUGGCCAAAGCCCUGAGGGUAACACUUUUAAUUUAACUAAAAGGGCAUGUGUUUGGAUGCAAUUUCCACCUACACAGCUACCACAAUUAGACUAAAAGGACUUCUAGAUUCCAACAUUAGUAUGGUUUUUUAACACGCAGAUGAUUUAUGCUCACACAGGUACCUGAAGAAAGAAAGUAGUUUGUGGCAAUGUUCAGAGUAAGCAAACUGCAAAUUCAGUGAGACACAAGGACUUAAAGAAAAUAAACAGCUCUCCCGUUAGUUCCAUGUGGGAAGCAGUGUAGGCAGCGACUGAUACUCAGGUGAGCAGCCCCACUAAUCAGAAGGACUGAUACUCUGUGAUGCACGAGGAGAGGUUCCAAGUGGGCUCUGCUUGACAUACCUGAAUGCGUGGAGGCAGUGAGGGGGCAGCUGUGUUUCAAAACUGCAGAGGGGAAAGUCUCUAUCAUCAAACCCGGGGUAGAUCUCUAGCAUCCAGGACCUUUCUGAAAAACAGGAUGCAGCACAUGCAUGGAGGGACUCUGUGGGGUCCCAGCACUGAGUCCUCUCUUGUCAUAGAGAAAUACAUCAUAUUCUUUGCAUAAGCUGUCUGAAUCCCAAUAUUUGAGCAUGGGCUAGGUUGUUGCUGUUGGUUUGUCUUGGGGACACUAAAGUAUCUAGUUUUCUAAAUAAGGAAUUUCCCUCUAAUUUCCAGUCUUAAUUUGGUCAAAGCCAGUGUACAUCCUUUUCUCACUUUUACCAGCAUUUUAAACUGCUACUUACUUUGAAGUUUAUUUUUUCAGCCUGCUUAAAAUAAUAUACUUUGUCUAGCCCUUGCUUUCUUAACCUAAAGCUUAAGAACUCCACUGUCACAUUUCUCCUUGCUCCUCCAAGCAGCUUUUCCCUGCACCCAAUCCCAGCUCAGCUGAGGCACAGGAAGUUCCAGAACAGAGCUUUUUUUUUUCCCCAAGAAUGCACAGACACGGAUGUUCUGUAUCUCCACCAGAAAUUACUAGAAAUAAUAUAAAAAGUAUUUUGAUAAAUACAGUGAAUGGCAAUGUUGUUACCCUGAUGGAGAUUAAAAAAUUUCCACCAGGUGAAUAAGCACUGAACUGCCUAUGAGUUCUUAAGACUUCACUCUUUUACCUUAAUAUAUUGCACUGCUUAGGACGGGGUAACUCAUUGGUCAGUGUGGUCAGCCUAAAUAUUUUCACAUCUAUUGGUUAAAAAAGCAAAUGGGAUUUUAGCAUUUCGAAAACAUAUAAGGCAACAAGGUACAUUUAACAAUGUGUAAAAUUCUGUGUACAGACACAGCACUGAAACUUAUUUUAAUAUAGCUAACUGCAGUGAUUAUUUGUCAUCUGCAAGUAGGAAAAUUCUCUAUAUAAUUCAGCUGAUUUUCUCAGAACGCGUGAAAGACUCCAUUAGUUACUGACAAGUGAAAGGUGUGCAGGUUUUGGGGUGGUUUGGUUUGGUGGUUGUUUUUUUUAGAAAAAGGAACUGGCUAAAGAUCUUGAAGGGAAACAGGAAGGGAGUUCCAGAUAUCUGGAGUAAGUCAAAUAAACAAGCCAAAGGAAAUUAAAGAUUUCAGUACUGAAACUACAUUGCAAAAUACCCUUUCCUUUAUCUCUUCAGAAAAAUAUGUUAAAAUUCUUAGAUGCAGAUUGUCAAUGACUUAGAGUACUUUGCAGAUAUUUAGCAAAUUAGGUGUUUUCAUGUACUGAACUUCAGAAGAAAAGCAUUCAGCAUGUGAAACACCAGUUGGUGAAUGUGAUGAGUUUCCACAGUAGUGCUGACAAUAGCUAUGCACUGCUGGAUUUUUUUCCUGUCCACUGUGACCUGCUUGAUCUCACAGAGAAGUAAUAUGAUAUCACAGCAUAUCAUAAACUAGGACAAUAAUUGUGAUUGGACAAAUAGAGUAUUAGCAAACAGAAAAACCCUAUUUAGUCUCAAGUAGCAAAUUAAAAAGAUGGAGUUAAAUUGCAAGAAUGGUUGGAUUUUUGUCCCUCUUUUUAAGCUCCAAGUACAGUCAAGUAUCAAGCAUCACAUCUUUAUCUCUGGAAGGACAAAACUCUGUGGUUCUCUUGUUUUCAGGUUAUGC